GCCACAGCACCACCCUCACGGCCCCCACCUCACCUGUUCAGCCUCUUGUACCUCUGCUGCGUCAUUCGUGAAUUAAUUCGUUUUGAACUAAGUGAUUUUUCUUCACUGACUUUAACCUAUAUUCAUGCCUUUCUUGUGCUACCAGAACAGACUUACUGGAAAGUUUUUCAAAUGAAAAUCCAGUUUAUAAUAACAGAAGUUUUGUGGCAGAUCCUUUUGUUGAAGCAGAAGAAAGGAAAUCUCAAGGACAUGUCUGGAUUGACAGCUUUGUAAUACAACUGUGCUGAGUGUUCCUGCAAGGCAGGGAGCAUCCUUAACUCCAAUUAACAUCACUGAGAAUAGAGGGCUCUUGGAGCCUCUUGGAAGACAGUCUUGACAUGCUCAACUGUCCAAGGAUCACUCUGCCCACUGGCAGGGCAGCUACUGCUGAGAGAGGAGACACAGGCAGCAAGAGGAGGGAAAGACCAGUUUAUCCAGAUUGCAUGAUCUUGUCAAGUCACAGAACUUCCCAACCUCAGAGCUUUCUAUAUUUAAGCCUACAGGUAUGUUUGUCAUCGUAUAGAGGAAAAACCUCUUGGAGAGCAGAUUUAAUCUGUGCUCAAGGAGAGGUGAAAACAGCACUGGAGGGAGAGGAGAACCCUCAUCACUGAGUGCCAAGGAAAGUUGCUGUGAGCUGAAAAGCCACUGCAGCAGCUCUUGGCCACUCCUGCCAUCCUGCCUCAGCUUCAGGUACCAGAUGCUGUUGGCAUUUUGCUUCCUCCUUUAUUCUAACAAAGGUCAUGCUUCUUCAUGACACUGUGGUGAACCCCAGGAUGAUGAAAUGUUCUGCAGGAAUCCCUAUUCUUCAGGCAGGUUUAUCCCAGUGCACCACUGGGAUAAACUUGGAUACUGGGAUAAACUUGGAUAAACUGGGAUAGACUUGGAUUUAGGAGAGUCUGCAGCAGGGCAAGGACUCUACCCUGCACCUUCUGGGUGCCUCCCUGCUUUGAUCUCCCUUCCCACUCUUCCCUUUGCUUCAGGAUUGUUAAAAUUCCUGAGCACCUCUAGGUCUGGGACAUACUGGAAUUUGUGCACACAGCCCUUAAACUGUUUUCUUCUUGGUCAAAAUAGUUCAGGGAAUGCCCAGGGAGUACAGACAUGGCAUCUCCUUCCAGAGUUUAAUUUCUUCUUCAGUGGGAAGGGAUGUUAGUGGGAUUCAUGUUUGUUUGUACUAGGGACACUUACAGAACCUCAUGGGGUAAUUACUCCUAAUUAGCAGCUUGGACACACGCUGCUCCUUCCUUCUACAAUCUGCAAUUAAUGAUACAGACAUAAUUCAGAUUUCUCCUUGUCAGUCUUGUGUUUAUGUUUAUAACAGGAGGAAACAGUUUAGGGAAAAAAAUUAAUCUGAAUCAAUCACCUGCUGAGAUCCACACAGGGAUUACCUGAGUAUUAUCCUGUGCUCGAGGCAGCCGAGACAUUUAGAACUUAGGGCACCUCCGUGUCAGCCUGAUUCCCUCUGUCAUAUUCCUCUAAGGUCUUUUCCUCAUUAGUCACGGACUGCUUCUUACCACGGCUUAAUUCAAUUUUUAGAUCAGUUGUACAGUAUGAAAAAAUCCUCAGAAGCAGUAACACUAGUGUUAUUUUAAAAUAAAUUAAAAUUUUGAGGGCAAGAAAGGUCUGGAGUUCUUCCUUUUUUGCUUCUCUCAACAGCCCCUAUUAAACUGAACUGUAUGUGUGCACUGAACAUCCCAAUAAACAGAACAAUGUGAAGGAUGGAGAAAUACUUCAACUCUUACUCCAGGUGUCACAGAAAAUUUCCAGUCUUGGAUAUAUUUGUUUACAGUGGAACAUGCUGAGGAAAACAUCCCCAGCUUUCUUCCUCAGUGGCUGUUUUUAUAUGAAACCAGGCAGUUGCCCAGCACAAACACUUACAAAACAGGUGAUCGUUAACAGAAGUUGUUCUUACUUCAAGUCCUGCUCAGGCAUCAGUUUUUCUUUGAUUUGAAGACCAGGAUAAAGACUCAUAUUGCAGCUGCAAAACUCUUACCCUGGCCUUUAUUAGAUCUGGCAAGAUUCAAAGCUACCUUGUGGACUUCAGAUUUUGUUGCAUAGAUUUUUCAUAGAGUCAUAGAAUCACAGAAUAUCUCAAGUUGGAAGGGACCCAGAGGGAUCAUCAAGUCCAAACCUUGGUCCUGCCCAGACACCCCAGCAACCUCACCUUGUGCCUGGGAGCGCUGCCCAAACCCACCUGGAGCUCUGGCCCCUUUAGAGCCAUGCCCAUUCCCUGGGGAGCCUAGGCAGUGCCCCACAACC